rnacentral:lncRNA from 1 species
UUCGUUCUGGUUAGCUCUCGGUUGAUUUGGCUGUGGUAUUUGCUCAUGAAGCUGAACCUGAUGCUGUGGUUGAUUUUGGUUGUCAGCCAUUCUCCUUGCUUGACGUUGAACUCUUCUACGAUUUCUAAAUGUUCUUUCAAUUUCGUGGUCUAUUGGAAAGAGAUCUGGCUCGACAGGAUUUUGCAUAAACUAAAGUUGCCUAAAAAGUGUAAUGGUAGCCUAAAAACAACUAAAAAAAAUUAAAUGAAAAUAAAAACAAUAAAAGUAAAAAUAAAAACGAAUCUAAAAUAUCUAAUAACUAAAAUUAACACCGUU